rnacentral:rRNA from 1 species
AUUGAACGCUGGCGGCAGGCCUAACACAUGCAAGUCGAACGCGUGGCGGACGGGUGAGUAAUGUCUGGGAAACUGCCUGAUGGAGGGGGAUAACUACUGGAAACGGUAGCUAAUACCGCAUACCAUCAGAUGUGCCCAGAUGGGAUUAGCUAGUUGGUGGGGUAACGGCUCACCAAGGCGACGAUCCCUAGCUGGUCUGAGAGGAUGACCAGCAACACUGGAAGUGAGACACGGGCCAGACGACGACGAGAGGCAGAAGAGGGGAAUAUUGCACAAUGGGCGCAAGCCUGAUGCAGGCAUGCCGCGUGUAUGAAGAAGGCCUUAGGGUUGUAAAGUACUUUCAGCGGGGAGGCGUUACCCGCAGAAGAAGCACCGGCGAACUCCGUGCCAGCAGCCGCGGUAAUAC